rnacentral:tRNA from 1 species
GGUUCGAUGGCGUAGUUGGUUAUCGCAUCUGUCUAACACUCCUGGGCCCACAGAAGGUCCCCGGUUCGAGCCCGGGUCGAAUCA